rnacentral:snRNA from 1 species
AGCUUUGCACAGUGGCAAUAUCGUAGCCAGUGAGGUUUAACCAAGGAGUGAUUAUUGCUAAUUGAAAAAAAUAAAAAUAAAAUAAAAUCUCUAGCAGAACUAGUUGGCAAAAAAAGAGAUUUUAAACCCUAGAAACAUGCUCUUGUAA